CCUACGGGUGGCAGCAGUGAGGAAUAUUGGUCAAUGGGCGCGAGCCUGAACCAGCCAAGUCGCGUGAGGGAGGACGGCCCUACGGGUUGUAAACCUCUUUUGUCGGGGAGCAACGGGCGCCACGUGUGGCGUCACUGAGAGUACCCGGAGAAAAAGCACCGGCUAACUCCGUGCCAGCAGCCGCGGUAAUAAGGAGGUUGCGAGCGUUAUCCGGAUUUAUUGGGUUAAAGGGGUGCGUAGGCGGAUCGUUAAGUCAGUGGUCAAAUUGAGGGGCCCAACCCCUUCCCGCCAUUGAAACUGGCGUUCUUGAGUGGACGAGAAGUAUGCGGAAUGCGUGGUGUAGCGGUGAAAUGCAUAGAUAUCACGCAGAACCCCGAUUGCGAAGGCAGCAUGCCGGCUUCCGACUGACGCUGAUGCACGAAAGCGUGGGGAUCGAACAGGAUUAGAUACCCGGGUAGUC
rnacentral:rRNA from 1 species